rnacentral:rRNA from 1 species
GACAGAGGAGCCAAGCGUUGUCCGGAUUGACUGGGCGUAAAGCGCGCGCAGGUGGCUCAUUACGCCCGGCGUGAAAGCCCCCGGCUCAACCGGGGAAGGUCGUCGGGUACGGGUGAGCUUGAGGGUAUCAGGGGCUGGUGGAAUUCCCGGUGUAGUGGUGAAAUGCGUAGAGAUCGGGAGGAACACCCGUGGCGAAGGCGGCCAGCUGGGAUACACCUGACACUGAGGCGCGAAGGCGUGGGGAGCGAACGGG